UCUUAUCAAAUUAUUUAAAAAUGCCUAGCACACACUUCUCUUUGGUUGCUAAUAAAUUGUUUUUUCAAUUAUUUAGACGCAUUCUGGAUUUGUUGCAUGAUUGGAAACGAUUUUACAAUGAAUGGAAAGGCUGAGGAAAUGAAGCUGGAUGGAUGUUAUAUAUCACCUUACUGCAUCCCCAACACAAAGAACCAAAAAUGUGUCGUUUCAAAGAAGUGCCUAUUGAUUUGGCAUGCCGAUGAGAAGUGACUGAGAAGUACACAAUCUGUUGCAUAUUUGCGAUUUUAGAAGGUACACAGUCUUUCUUUUUUUCUUUUUUUAAGACAAAAUUAACUAAGUAAAUAUGUUCUCGAUACAUUUUUGUGGCAAUUGUAUGAAUAACACUUUAGGUCUUGUGGAACUUUGAUAAGCAUACAAUGUGUUUGUAGAAAUGCCCGAGUGAAAGUUAGUUAAAAUAAAUGAUUGUAUGCUUGAUAAGUUGAUAUGGUGAUUUAUGUAUGUAU